AAAUCUCAGUUUUACUUUCACCUCCGAUCUUUCCAGGCUUCCCUCUCUCCCCGCAUCAAUCAGUAGAUAUUAUUCCUCUUUUUCCACAGGAUAUCUAAGUCUUAAUUUUCUCUUCUACUUCCUGACCAGCCUGUUGUUAUUAUUGCCAACACUUUCUUGCCGGGAAUCUUCCAGAGUGGCUCCUCCGACCCAUCCCCAUCCUGAGCGGGGAAAUCUUGCUACAUUCUCAAGAACCAGGAAAAGGGCCCUGCAAAAGGGUAUCACCUGAUUUUGAUACAGCAGCAGGAAGCUUGUUCCCAGCCUACCAGAAACACCAAAACCGGGCGAGACACUCAAGUCGAAAACCUACCACCUCCAAGUUUCCACAUCUAACUUUUGAGAGUCCGCAAUCUUCCAGUUCAGAGACAUUGGGGAUCCCCUUAAUGCGAGAGUGCCCCAGUGAAUCAGAAAAGGAUGUUUCCAGAAGACCCUUAGUUCCAGUGCUCAGUCCCCAAAGCUGUGGGAACAUGUCAGUG
rnacentral:sRNA from 1 species